AGAAUUCUAAGUUAAACUACUC
rnacentral:tRNA from 1 species